GCCGAGCUCGCGCCGCGUCACCGCGUGCGUCCGUCCGUCCGUCUGUCUGUCUGUACGUCCGUCCGUCAGUUAGUCUGUCCGUCAGUCCGUCUCUGCGGCCUGCAGCACCCGAGCCGCCUCCCCGGGGCGGUGGCACGGACAGGGUGUGCGCUCGGCGGCGGAGGUCAUGGCCGCCCUCCCAGGCAUUACGGCCCCCCGACCUACAGAGUUGUCUUCAUCCGCAGCUGGACCUGUUUCUACCACGAAAAUAACGUGGCAUCCAGGGCGCGCGUGUCCCUGCGUCUGGGGGUGUGAGAGAGCGCGAGAUUGUGACAAAAAUAGCGGCGGCAGGUGGGUAAAAGGCACCUGAUAACCGACAAAGUGGAAGUGGAGUUUUUUUUUGUAAUCAAAAGUGCAUGUUCUGCAUUUGCAGCAUAGGUUUCCUGGGGGGGGGGGGCAUGACCUUUUGGCUUGGAUUGUUUAAGAGCUCGCCUCCCUCUUCCAGUGUGAUAAACCUGAAAUAUAUGACAGGAGACUAAAUCUACACAUGUGAUUGUCACUUUUAUUGGAGGAACUUCGUUGUAUUUAAAAAAAUUUGGUUUGCAGUUCAAUAAUAGUCACUUUUCAGUCAUUUGCUGAAUAUAUGGCUCACUUGGUUCUGCUAAGUGUCUGAAAGAAAAUAUUGCAUGUGGCCCUUGGCUUAUCGGUGAAAUGGAAGGGAGCCGUGCGUGCUAAUAUUCAGUGUUGCCAGAUGGGGGCGGUAAUAGUCCGUUUGAUGGUACCUGGAAAUUCAUUCACUCCAGACUAAAUUUCCAUAAAUUCUGCAAACUCACGCUUAAAGUAUUUGGGAAUGGUGUGGUGGAACAGGAGGCCUCUUGCUGCUCCCCCCCCUUGUUCUGAAGGCUGCCACUCCCCUAAGUACAAAUCUUAGCAUCCAUGACCCCAGUAAAGCGCAGUCCCCACAAUGGGGAUGUCAGUCCCAGUGCGCUGUGUGAAUCCCUGGUAUGCAGGAAGUCAUAUCUGCAGUAGCAGCUUUGUAUAUCCUGUUUUUUUGUUCCGCAAUAGCUGCCGUCAACACUUUUAUUUUCUUCUUUUGCUUAGGUCUUACAGCUGGCCUGACCCUCCCGCCCCCCCUCCCCCUCUGAGUCUGCAUGUCUGUAAAUAUUUGGGUAAACCCAGCGACAUGUUAGCUUUCUGAGAAAUCAGACUUUUUGGAAAACUCCGCCUGUUUUCACGCAGCAAAAUUAACAGUAAUGUUUGUGUGUGUGUGUGCGCGUGUCUUUAAUACUGUUUUCUGAAGUACAAGAUGCUCAUUUCAGAUUGCAUCGAAAGGUUGUACCCUCUCUCAAAGAAAAUGCCUUGUAAUUGCUUCGGUUCCUGGCUGUGACUUACAGUUGCAGCCUUUGAUCCGGCUCCAUGUGCUGCCUGCUGGAGGCUGUCAGCAGUCGUCUGUAUCGGUCCGUCUUUGGGCCCAUCUGCUCCAAUACGCUUUCGUUUAGUAACACAAAAACAUUUCUUAUGAUCUAGUCUUCUGUCCACACUACCACGGACCUGUUCUCCCCCAGCAGAGGAGAAAAAAUUCACCGUUUUCUGACCACUAACGUUUCUGUGAAUGCAUUAGUGCGGACACUCAUAAGCGAGGUCUGCACUAAUGCAUGGCUACACCAGGGAGCUCCGAUUGGUUCGCACCCGUGACUGUUUCCUGAUUAGCUCUCUUAGUUUUCCCUUGAUUUGGAUUUUAUUCACGGGAAUCAGAAAUGCAUGGUCUGACGUCGUGGAUGUUCGGGACUCUCGCUAUUUGGAAUAUGUUGUUUUGCUUAAUUGUGUGCAGCUACAUCCUAUUUUGUGUACGUCGUAUUGUGGAGCUCCGAAAGAGCCUGAGCCACGUGCCUGCUGAUUAGACAUCCAGCCAUCGCACCGUUACAGUGCUCUGAAGCUGAGGGAAGAGAGCGAUACUUGUACUGGCUACAUUUCUGGGCCCCUGGGUUGUUGCUGUGGUGGCUUCUUUCAUGUCCAGCUUUGCGUUUGCACCACUGCAGUAUCACAGUACACUGUGAUAUUUCCAUACCUAUUUACAUAGUCUAAAACGGUUUAUCCUGUUCAGGGUUGUGGUGGGGCUGAAGCCUAUGGGCGCAAGGCAGGGAACAACCCAGGAUGGGGCACCAACCCAUCGCAGGGCACAAGGCAGGGAACAACCCAAGAUGGGGUGCCGGCCCAUCACAGGGCACAAGGCAGGGAACAACCCAGGAUGGGGUGCCGGCCCAUCGCAGGGCACAAGGCAGGGAACAACCCAGGAUGGGGCGCCAACCCAUCGCAGGGCACAAGGCAGGGAACAACCCAGGAUGGGGUGCCGGCCCAUCGCAGGGCGCAAGGCAGUGAACAACCCAGGAUGGGGUGCCGGCCCAUCGCAGGGCGCAAGGCAGGGAACAACCCAGGAUGGGGUGCCGGCCCAUCGCAGGGCGCAAGGCAGGGAACAACCCAGGAUGGGGCGCCAACCCAUCACAGGGCACAAGGCAGGGAACAACCCAGGAUGGGGUGCCGGCCCAUCGCAGGGCACAAGGCGGGGAACAACCCAGGAUGGGGUGCCGGCCCAUCGCAGGGCACAAGGCGGGGAACAACCCAGGAUGGGGUGCCGGCCCAUCGCAGGGCACAAGGCAGGGAACAACCCAGGAUGGGGUGCCGGCCCAUCACAGGGCACAAGGCAGGGAACAACCCAGUAUGGGGCGCCAACCCAUCACAGGGCACAAGGCAGGGAACAACCCAGGAUGGGGUGCCGGCCCAUCGCAGGGCACAAGGCAGGGAACAACCCAGGAUGGGGUGCCGGCCCAUCGCAGGGCACAAGGCAGGGAACAACCCAGGAUGGGGCGCCAACCCAUCACAGGGCACAAGGCAGGGAACAACCCAGGAUGGGGUGCCGGCCCAUCACAGGGCACAAGGCAGGGAACAACCCAGGAUGGGGUGCCGGCCCAUCACAGGGCACACUCACACACCAUUCACUCACAUGCACACCAGUUUGGUAACUCCAGUUAGCCUCAGCAUGUUUUGUGGAGGGAAACCGGAGUACCUGGUGGAAACCCCACGACGACAUGGGGAGAACUUGCAAACUCCACACACGGAGUUAUGGCGAAGACUCGAACCCUGGUCCCAGAGGUGUGAGGCGACAGUGCUAACUUCUAUACCCCCCCCCCCCCAUGAUAUUUUGCUUUGCUAAAUAAAAUGCAUAUAUUUACUUUAAACACAGUUGUGCGUGACAUUAAUUGAAAUUUUUAUAAAAGCAGAACUUACUAAUCAAAGUCAAAACAUAUACUUUACCAGUUUUAGAAUUAUAAAAAAUUUUGACUGGUAAAAAAACGUGCAAAUGACACUAGUGAUGAGGUUAGUGUGGACAAAGGUCUUUUCUUUCGGAAAGUCCCGUAAUUUGUUUUAUGUGUUAAUGUGAAAAUAGUGUUUGUCUCUCGUCCUCUGUACAGAUUUGUCAUUCUUUGGCUCCUUCUAUGGCUUUCUGGAUGCGUUCAGUUGGUAGUUGCGUAUUUUCUGACCUGGGAUUAAAGCUUCUCUCUCUUAGGAUGCGCCCAGCUCGAACUUUUAAGAUCUGUAAAUAAAUGCCAGGAUUUCUCAGCAGUGCUUAGCAAUUUAAGCAGGUCAGACUGCUGUCUGAUUUCUUAGUGGAGUAGAUUUAGCCUGGAGAUGCUCAGUACCAGCUGAACGUCUGAUUACCGCCUGAUGCACGCGUUGGUGUUUCUUUCUGUCCAGUAGGAGGGAGGGCAGCUGCCCUUCGUGCCCACUAGAGGGCCCUCUUCCUUGUCCAGACGCCUGAGGAGUUUUCCCAGUGCUUCCUGUGCUUUUGCAGCUUGUCGUGGGUUUUCCCGCCUGUCCUGAGCGGCUCGGACUCUCCUCCUAGGUCUCAAGGCAGCAGGAAACUGCAGCCUGCACACCCACGAUGGCUGUUUUUAGUGCCGGUUAGCUUUUAACUUCUUUUGGAUUAAAGUUACUGCACCUUCUCGUUUUGUCAUAAGAAACGGUGCUGGAGCAGGGCCCAGGCGCGGCUUUCUGUGAUCCUUCCGGAUGCCGGCGGCAUCUGCUUACUUAACGGGAGAUGAUUUACGUUGGCAGAGUACAUCCUGUGUGUGGAGAGUCCUUGUUGUUGUUGUUCCCUCAGAAAGCUGAGACAAGAUUGAUCUGGUUUCUCUUUUUCCAAAAUGCUCAGAUCUUCUGUGAAGGUUUGUUGCAAAGGGAAAAAUGGGUCAUUGUCCCUGACCAUAGGCGGUUUGGUGGCGCACUAAUGGCUUAGUGGCUGUUUGCAGUUAUGGAACAAAGAGCCUGGGCUAAAUGGCUGAUGAAAGGCUUUUUUAUCGGCCUAACCCUCCGGAGGGGAUACCGCUUACCAGCUUCGCACUGUCAAGCAUCAUGUGAUCAGCUGGUCUUCCUUUCACAUGAAUUCAGUAGGUGAUCUAGGUUUUCUGGGAAGUAAAAGCAAGCACUGGAUUCUUUGGUCAAAUCAACUUUUUUUUUUGUCACAUACACAGUUGUGCAGUGAAAUGCUGGUUCCAAGACUGUGACAGCAUCCGUAUAAAGAAAUAGAACACAAAAGACAAACAGUGUUAGUGGUUUUCAUCUACAUUCCCUCUGCCCUUUUCACGCUCUUAUAUUCCCCCAAAAUCAGCAUUUUGUAGCUGUUCCUUCCACCCGCCCUCACUGGAGUGCUGUUAGGGUUGGCUUCGAUGGCAGUAAAAUACACCUGGACGGGUCUUAAUUCGGCUUUUUAUGCAUGUAAAUAAACAUCUGAUUCAUUUGAAAGGGGGGGGGGGGUUAUUUCAGUGAAAGCCAGGAGGUUGGUGCCCUCUCCUCAUGGUCUGGCAGCGCUCACUGGGUCUCGGCUAUCGUGCGCUGGGUCAUUCUCCAAGCUGUGCUUUCCCUUCUGUUUCCUGGGAUUCCGCUUCCUGAUCCUCGGCGGAGGGCCGGGCAGUUCGCAUUUAAUGCUACCGUCGUCUCAGAUGCCCUGGAGGUGCAGGAAUGUUGGCUGGGGGGCACCUCAGCGUGUAAGGCACCGUCCCGUGUGUUUGCGGAGAUCUCUGUUUGAGAGGCUGAGCACGCCGCUGCCCCAUGACUGCAUCCCCAAGCAGGUUAAGGGCGUCUCCUGCAGAUCUGCUGAAUGGGUGGGGUGACGCGCCCCCCCCCCCCCCCCCCCCCCCCCCGUUGGUUCCGCCGUGUGGUUUAGCAAUCGGAGGCUUGCUGGGUUGCAGGCAUCUCCUGCAGAACCUUCUCCCACACUCGCCACACUCUUGCUGUUCCUCUCGUCAGAAGUCUGAGGCCUUUCUUCUCACCCAAGUGCUGACAGUUGGUAGGAUGUAACACCGAGGAAACGUCUGCGGGGGGUCAGACAUCAGCCCUGCUUCAGCAGCUGUCCUCCCUCUGAGUCUCUGACAGGCAGCUCUCCGCAGUGUCAUGGUCUUACAGCGCGGAUCCCUGUGUCUCUUCAGUCUUCACCUCGCAGUGCCAGAAUGUUCUACAGUACAGUUAUUGUAGCUUGACACUUCAUCCUUGCUACAUUUUGCCCAUACAGGUGGACAAGUUUUUAGCGGCCCGCGCUUUCGAACCUCUGUCAUUUUUUUUUUUCAGGCUCCUCUGGGCCGAUGUUACACCGGCAUGUACAUGGCGACCUCAUGAAGCUUCCUGCUGAAUGGAAUAUGCAUAUGCUAGCCGGUGGAAGAAGCCAUUCUCACCGUGGGACGAGCAGUGUACGAUAAGCAGGGCUUCCUGCUGAAGCUGGACGGGAAGCU